rnacentral:rRNA from 1 species
AGUGAACGCUGGCGGUAGGCCUAACACAUGCAAGUCGAGCGGCAGCACAGUAAGAGCUUGCUCUUACGGGUGGCGAGUGGCGGACGGGUGAGGAAUACAUCGGAAUCUACUUUUUCGUGGGGGAUAACGUAGGGAAACUUACGCUAAUACCGCAUACGACCUACGGGUGAAAGCAGGGGAUCUUCGGACCUUGCGCUAUUGAAUGAGCCGAUGUCGGAUUAGCUAGUUGGCGGGGUAAAGGCCCACCAAGGCGACGAUCCGUAGCUGGUCUGAGAGGAUGAUCAGCCACACUGGAACUGAGACACGGUCCAGACUCCUACGGGAGGCAGCAGUGGGGAAUAUUGGACAAUGGGCGCAAGUCUGAUCCAGCCAUACCGCGUGGGUGAAGAAGGCCUUCGGGUUGUAAAGCCCUUUUGUUGGGAAAGAAAAGCAGCAGGUUAAUACCCCGCUGUUCUGACGGUACCCAAAGAAUAAGCACCGGCUAACUUCGUG